CAAAAGAGACACUAGUAAACAGAUUUUCCUGAGACAGCAAGUGACAUUAAUUUGUCUAAUUUCCUACAGGAUGUAGUCAACCAAGAGGAUAGGGCCUUCAAACCACCAGACAAGGAAGUGAGUCCUAAGGUUCUUAACCAAGUGGAUAGGGCCUUCAAACCACCAGACAAGGAAGUGAGUCCUAAGGUUCUUAACCAAGUGGAUAGGGCCUUCAAACCACCAGACAAGGAAGUGAGUCCUAAGGUUCUUAACCAAGUGGAUAGGGCCUUCAAACCACCAGACAAGGAAGUGAGUCCUAAGGUUCUUAACCAAGUGGAUAGGGCCUUCAAACCACCAGACAAGGAAGUGAGUCCUAAGGUUCUUAACCAAGUGGAUAGGGCCUUCAAACCACCAGACAAGGAAGUGAGUCCUAAGGUUCUUAACCAAGUGGAUAGGGCCUUCAAACCACCAGACAAGGAAGUGAGUCCUAAGGUUCUUAACCAAGUGGAUAGGGCCUUCAAACCACCAGACAAGGAAGUGAGUCCUAAGGUUCUUAACCAAGUGGAUAGGGCCUUCAAACCACCAGACAAGGAAGUGAGUCCUAAGGUUCUUAACCAAGUGGAUAGGGCCUUCAAACCACCAGACAAGGAAGUGAGUCCUAAGGUUCUUAACCAAGUGGAUAGGGCCUUCAAACCACCAGACAAGGAAGUGAGUCCUAAGGUUCUUAACCAAGUGGAUAGGGCCUUCAAACCACCAGACAAGGAAGUGAGUCCUAAGGUUCUUAACCAAGUGGAUAGGGCCUUCAAACCACCAGACAAGGAAGUGAGUCCUAAGGUUCUUAACCAAGUGGAUAGGGCCUUCAAACCACCAGACAAGGAAGUGAGUCCUAAGGUUCUUAACCAAGUGGAUAGGGCCUUCAAACCACCAAACAAGGAAGUGAGUCGU